rnacentral:rRNA from 1 species
UACGAAGGGGGCUAGCGUUGUUCGGAAUUACUGGGCGUAAAGCGCGCGUAGGCGGUGAUCUUUGUCAGAGGUGAAAUCCCGAGGCUCAACUUCGGAAUUGCCUUUGAAACGGGAUCGCUUGAGUCCGAGAGAGGAUGGCGGAAUUCCUAGUGUAGAGUGAAAGUUCGUAGAUAUUAGGAAGAACACCGGUGGCGAAGGCGGCCAUCUGGCUCGGUACUGACGCUCAGGCGCGAAAGCGUGGGGAGCAAACAGGG